rnacentral:ribozyme from 13 species
AAUAUUCAAGAUUCAUCAAAAGGAAAAAAAGCAAAAUACUUUAAAUUUUUGCGUGUGACUUGUUUCUUGGUUUUAUUUUUAGAAGUUAUUAUCUGUUUGAUUUC